UUUGGCGCCAUGCUCCAAUCAGUCCUUCCCCGGCGCGCGCCACCAUCGCCAGGGCCAGGCAGGCGUCAGCUCGGUCCCCACCUCGCUACUCCCGAUGGCCAUGCUCGCCCAAAGCGCGAUGGCGCCGGAUCGCACUGGAGCAGGUGAGACCUGGAAGAAGCCGGAGCGCUAACAAAAGGAGGA
rnacentral:lncRNA from 1 species